rnacentral:lncRNA from 7 species
AUUAAGAAACAGGAAGCAGGCAGGGGAGGCUGGGUUUUUGUGUGUGGGGUUGGUUUUUUUUUUUUUUUUUCCUUUUGUUUUGGGUUUCUUUUUUUCAGCAGAAAAUGAUCGCAGUGCCCGCUGCGUCGUGAUGUCGUUGAGCAGCGCAGGGAGCGGAACGGAGGGCAUGUAUCGGUAGGCUGCUGUAAUAUUCCCGAGCCGAGCGCUCCUCUUUCCGCACUGCUCCGUGUGCCAAGUGUCACGUCCAGCCCGCCCCACCAGCCACCACGAGCUGAUGCAGGAUUUUCGUGGAUGGUGCCGUGUUGCUUAGCAACCUUGCUAGGCAGCAUGCUAUACAUCACGCACGGCGCCGGCUACUACGGUACGAAGGUAAACAACAGGGAGCCUGGUCCUCAGAGCAGCAGAGGAGAUGGUAUCUACAGCUCAUUUCAGAAAGCUUCUCAGCUUAAACACUUGACAACUGACGGAGCUGUUCAACUUUUAGUGAAUGAGGACCAAGUAAAUAACUGCAAGGCCUGUAACUGCGUGCAUUCACAGAGCUGAAUUGUGCCGGAUGGACACCAGUGACUGAUGGAGGGAUACUGGACCCAGCCCAUAUCUAGGACAGCGAGCGUGCCGUGCCCUGUUCCUUUCAACACUAGGACUUCAGCAGUAGGAAGUCCUUCCCUAGGGCUGAGAGUUAUCGCAGCAAAAGUUAGAAGAUAAAUUACAUCUUACAACAAAACAGACUUGAAUACAACACAUGCAAGCAUCUCAGUCUGUGCAGAAAGCAGAAAGAGUGUUAUGCUGGGCAGAAGUAAAAAUAAGCAAGCUAAUCUCGAAUGACACUGGAAAAGAAAAUAGCUGAAGGACUUUUCCUCUCUGUGAGUUUCAAGGCAAGCUUUUAAUUAACCAUCACCUGCUACCUGGUUAAUGGAGCACCCUCCUCAUCUAGGUGGUGACCACUGAAUAAUGUUUGAGAUACCUGCCUGCUGGGUGGCAAACAUGACAGAAAUGUCUCUAGAAGGCCUCCCUGUGAAGGACUGGAACCACGUACACAAAGUAUAAUGCAGAAGUCAUGAGCUAAAACUAACCCUCACAAGCAGAGAAGAAAAAAGACACUCAGGAUUUUUGUGGACGUAGACAUUUCAAGAGGUUUUUCCUUUUUUAGCAUUAGGAGGACAGGAGGAGGACAGAAGUUUCCAGCUCCUUGCUCAGGCUUCCUGUUGCGUAGACGGCCUAGGAUUUGUAGCUGACUCUUGUCUCAGUGGCUCCUCGUCUCUAAAUCUGCCAUGAUGACCUUUGGGGUCCUCUUGACAGCCCAUUAAAAUGCAUACUGCGUCUUAAAUUCAUGUUGGAGGGGAUGUUUUCCUCUUCAAAUUUUAAGAGCUGUCCAUUGCAUACGACUAUCAUGUGGUUGUUCAUUCCUUCCUCUUAGGUGUUUUCACCUUCUCCCGUAGCUUCAGCUUGUACUUGAUGAACUAUUACGUCUUCUGGGGAUUUCCAUUUCAUUUGUAUUGAAAGCGUCUUUCAAGCCACCGUGAUAUUCUAAACAAACAACAAAUU